GGCAGGAGGACGGCAAGUUGGAUCAUGGCCUGGGCAAUUUAGCGACUUAGUGAAAUCACCGCAAGGUGGCUAUGAAUAGUUGCAUUCUAUUAUGGCAGGUUUUUUUUGGGGGGGGGGUGCUUUUUACUAAUGCAAGUUUUUUUUAUUACUGCCUUUUAUUUAUACAGACCAGUGGGUUCAUUUCGGCAUAUCCAUACAUGCAGGACCUUUAGUCCACCUAAGUGAAAACUGAGGCACUGCGAAGCUCAGUGGCAAGUUAUCAAGUAUCUCCGGGCCCCUGAUGAAGCUGGCAGCCAGCUAAACCCAAAGUCUCCGAGCCGGACAUUCCAAUAAAAGAAAAAUCGGCUCUGACUGAGAAAGGAUCUGCCGAGACCUCCACAGGCUGAAAGGUCAGACCAAGAAAUGAGGUUUGCCUUGCGUGAUGGCGCAUGCCUCUCAUCUCAGCACUCUGGGAUGCUUGGGCAGGAGGGUCGCAAAUUCAAGCCCACCAUAGUCCCUAGAGACAAACACUGUCUGGUGACAACUUGAAGAACCUUCCACCGACGUACAGAGUCUUUAAGAAAGACGGUGUGUGGGCCGGGGAUUUAGCUCAGUGGUUUCGCUGCCUACUGUGCAAGAGCAAGAACCCGAGUUCGAUCCCCGGUACCAAAAAAAAAGAAAAAGAAAAGAAAAACGGUGUGUAUGUUCUGUAAUAAAUACCCAUACGGCUGCAAACUAAACUCAAAGAUCUUUUCUCUCUUUCCACUUAGAUUCCAGGGGGCAGGAACGAAAAAUUAACCAGAUUGGAAAAUGCAUGUGUAAUGGCCGGGCGUGCUGUCUAUCACGCGCUUGUCCUCCCAGCACUGAGGGAGGCUGAGGCAAGAAGAUCAGGAG
rnacentral:lncRNA from 1 species